GAUGAACGCUGGCGGCGUGCCUAAUACAUGCCAGUCGAGCGAACAGACGAGGAGCUUGCUCCUCUGACGUUAGCGGCGGACGGGUGAGUAACACGUGGAUAACCUACCUAUAAGACUGGGAUAACUUCGGGAAACCGGAGCUAAUACCGGAUAAUAUAUUGAACCGCAUGGUUCAAUAGUGAAAGACGGUUUUGCUGUCACUUAUAGAUGGAUCCGCGCCGCAUUAGCUAGUUGGUAAGGUAACGGCUUACCAAGGCAACGAUGCGUAGCCGACCUGAGAGGGUGAUCGGCCACACUGGAACUGAGACACGGUCCAGACUCCUACGGGAGGCAGCAGUAGGGAAUCUUCCGCAUGGGCGAAAGCCUGACGGAGCAACGCCGCGUGAGUGAUGAAGGUCUUCGGAUCGUAAAACUCUGUUAUUAGGGAAGAACAAAUGUGUAAGUAACUAUGCACGUCUUGACGGUACCUAAUCAGAAGGCCACGGCUAACUACGUG
rnacentral:rRNA from 1 species